UUGCGGAGACAGGAUUUGAACCCGUG
rnacentral:tRNA from 1 species